GAAAUUCUAAGCACUCAAAUGUCUGCCACAAAAAAGAUUUUAUAAUUACUCCUGUACUCUCUAUAUAUCUCCAACCCCUAUUCCUCAUAUAAUUCCCACUCACUCAUUCUCACCUCUUCCUAAACCAAACCCUAACUCUCCCUCUCUCUCUCUGGCGCUCAACUCUGACAGAGCCAUGGCCCUCACACGUGCCAUGCUUUUCCUCACAAUGUCACUUGCUGUUGUAGCACCGACAUCUUCCACCCCAUCAACGCCCAUCACCAUGGCACCUUCGCCGAUGACUAUGAUGGCACCACCGCCAAUGUCUAUGAUGACGCCGUCGCCUAUGAUGACGCCACCGCCUAUGAUGACGCCGUCGCCUAUGAUGACGCCGCCGCCUAUGAUGACGCCACCGCCUAUGAUGACGCCGCCACCUAUGAUGACGCCGCCGCCUAUGAUGACGCCUAUGAUGACGCCGCCGCCUAUGAUGACGCCUAUGAUGACGCCGCCGCCUAUGAUGGCAACGCCGCCUAUGAUGACGCCGCCGCCUAUGAUGACGCCAUCGCCUAUGAUGAUGCCACCAACCCCAACUCAAAACUCAGGUUUUGUGCAUGGAAGUAGCAUGGCCUUGGUGGCAUUCUUGGGUGGACUUGCACUACUUUUUUAAUCACAAAAAGGCCCUCGUUUGAUAUUUACAUGUAGAUUAGAGAUGGUAUAUCAUCAUUAUGUGUAUUCUUUGUUUUCCAUAUUUCUUCUUUUAAAACUUUUUUUACCCUUUCUUUUAUUUUUGAUUUUUGUUGACGACUUUUGGGAGCUCCAUGUUAUGAUAAUUUGUGAAAGGAGGGUGAUGAUAGUUUGGAGGACACAAUUUGUUGGAUGUACUUAAUUAAUAGCAGCUCUUGUUUUGUAGCAUUUUCAUGAGGACUUUAAGAAUAAAGAGAGACCCCCUCAUUCUUGUUUGUGUUUCCAAAUCUUAUACAAUCUAAUUUCCUAAGCGUAGAUACACGUUAUGUAUAUUGUUCACUUCAAUUUCAUAUGGUUAAGCAAUGAAACAAGUCUCAC
rnacentral:lncRNA from 1 species